AGUUUAAUAGUAUAAAAUUAAAAUAUUAAAUUGCAAAUUUAAAGUUAUAAAUAUAUAAAUUUAUUUAAACUU
rnacentral:tRNA from 1 species